ensembl:lncRNA
AUUUCUGUGCAGUGCCCACGUCCCGCGCUUUUACGCACGGUCUCUUUGCAUUAAUGCAGAAACGUUGUUAUGGUGUUAUGAUACUAGCUUACUCGGUUUUUUAUAAUCAAUUAAAAAUAAGAAAUUAAACUUGUUUACAUUUUGUUUCAUGGCUAGAAUUUGUGAUAUAAAGCGAAUUAGAAUUCCACUCCAAUUCGAAACAAUGUGUAAAGACGUAUUCCAUCUCUAUGCGACCGAGAGGGUCACAAUGCCGACGCUUCACAUGGAACUCCAGAACCCAAGAUAUAUGUCCAGAACACUCAAAAAAUCUUCAGUUCUUGAUCGACAAACACCGAGAGAGACAGCAUUAUUAUGGCAAGCUUUUCAUUCAUCUUCCCCGAAGACAGACGUUGUUCCAUUAAGGACAACGAAGUCAAUUCAGGCUAAAGUGUCUUCCAAGAAGGAGCACAUUCACUUGGUUGACCGCCUCAAUGCUGAAGUCACCCACUGAGGGCACUCACUCACUGCUGAAAGCAUCCAGAAUGAUGCUUCUGUUUCUCCUCAACGCCACCUACACCCCUGCCCCUCUCCCCCACACCAAACCCUACCAGGGUAGGGUUGAAUUCCAGAUCAAUUCAGUCAAUUCAAGAAGUAAACUGAAAUUCCAAUUCCAAUUGUUUCUCAUAGGAGGCAUUGAGGUAAAUUUGAAUUGCUAUUGGAAUUUCAGUUUACUUUCUGAAUUGACUGAAUUGAAAAUGAAUUGACCCCAACCCUGAUCCCUAAGCCUCCACCCCAUCCAUUUCUAUCUUCAGUAAAUUUUGUAGAAUUUUAUUUGAAUGUGUUUUGUAUCUUCAUUAAAACCACAAUGCAUCUCUAAUGAGAGUCACUCAUGUUACACAUCUAGAUUCAUCAUCAAAUAUUAACGCAACAUGUAAAGUGUUGGUACCAUGUUUCAUGAGCUGAUAUAAAAUCCCAUUAUUAUUCCAUAUGUACAAA